rnacentral:lncRNA from 1 species
AGGCGGCUGCCGUUGCCCUGGUAACUUCACCUGAUCCAGGGCUGUAUCUAGGGCUUCUGAUCAUAUGCCUCUAAGUUAAUGUCCAAAUCUGAAACAUCAACUCCUCGACAGAGUUAACAAAUCAGUGGGCCAUUCUUCAAAGAUGAUGCCCUUUGCUCAAGGAUGAAGGGGAAGGAGCUCACGAGUGUGAGGAGGGUACAGGGAUCUGGGGGAUCCAGACAACAGCCUUGUGCUUUGCUAGGAGUAGAGGAGAAGGGGUAGCUAUGCAAAGAUCAGAUGCUGGGAAAGUACUGAGAUCCCAAAGUGUGUGGAAGCAAUCACUUUGUUUUGGUCCAGCAGGAAAGAUUAAAAUGAAAAGGUGGAGCUUAAAAAUUAAAUGGCUAAUGCGGAUAACGAUGAUCUUCACACAGGAGGCUGCUCCAGGAGAACUGUCUGCAGGAACGGAAUCGCCUUGUUGCUUUCUCUCUCAGAUAAAAUGUAUAGUACACAAUUAAAAAUGAUAUAAUACACGAGGAAAUAAAAUACGGAGAGACAGCAGAAGCUGAAGACUGUCCAGACACAUAGAUGGUACAGAUGCUGGAACUCUGCCAGUCAGCAGCAGAGGGGAUACUGAGUAAAGGUCAGACAGCAAGAGAGUGAGGCCGAAUCCAGAGCUGGAGACACAGAAAGACAACAAUGACGAGCUGUGGCUUGGUGGACAUGGAUGUUGACGUGUGAUCUUCAUCUUCAUCACCCUCAUGUCAACCAGAAGAGAGAAGUGUGCACAGAAGGAAGUGCAGGAUGUCAGAGGCAUAAAAGUAAAGACAGAGUCAGGGAAGGAGAGUGGAGUUUAAACGAUGUAGGGACAUUGCAUUAGCUAGGAUAAGAUUAUUAACAUCAAAUUUUGAUACAGGUCCACAAAUAUUGUAAUUUCAAGGGUAAUUAUUGAAUGAGUCACAAAUGCUUAUAAUAGAAGGGAAAUGAAUAAUUGAAAUAAAAGCAAUUAAGUAUAAUUAAGUGUAGAGAG